rnacentral:rRNA from 1 species
GUGGGGAAUCUUAGACAAUGGGGGCAACCCUGAUCUAGCCAUGCCGCGUGAGUGAUGAAGGCCUUAGGGUCGUAAAGCUCUUUCGCUGGGGAAGAUAAUGACGGUACCCAGUAAAGAAACCCCGGCUAACUCCGUGCCAGCAGCCGCGGUAAUACGGAGGGGGUUAGCGUUGUUCGGAAUUACUGGGCGUAAAGCGCACGUAGGCGGAUUGGAAAGUUGGGGGUGAAAUCCCGGGGCUCAACCCUGGAAUGGCCUUCAAAACUCCCAGUCUUGAGGUCGAGAGAGGUGAGUGGAAUUCCGAGUGUAGAGGUGAAAUUCGUAGAUAUUCGGAGGAACACCAGUGGCGAAGGCGGCUCACUGGCUCGAUACUGACGCUGAGGUGCGAAAGCGUGGGGAGCAAACAGGAUUAGAAACCCCGGUAGUCC